CAAAAUCUGAGUUUGAUCCUGGCUCAGAAGGAACUCUAGCUAUAUGCUUAACACAUGCAAGUCGAACAUUGUUUUCAGGGAGCUGUGUAGAAAGAAAAGAGGCUCCUAGCUAAAGUUGUCUUGCCCUGCUUCAAAACUACAGGGCGCACACUACGGCUUUGACCUAACGGCCUCCGUUUGCUGGAAUCGGAAUAGUUGAGAACAAAGUGGCAAACGGGUGCGUAACGCGUGGGAAUCUGCCGAACAAUUCGGGCCAAAUCCUGAAGAAAGCUCAAAAGCGUUGUUUGAUGAGCCUGUGUAGUAUUAGGUAGUUGGUCAGGUAAAGGCUGACCAAGCCAAUGAUGCUUAGCUGGUCUUUCGGAUGAUCAGCCACACUGGAACUGAGACACGGCCCGGACUCCCACAGGAGGCAGCAGUGUGGAAUCUUGGACAAUGGGCGAAAUCCCGAUCCAGCAAUAUCGCGUGAGUGAAGAAGGGCAAUCAUGACAGGACUCGAGGAAGAAGCCCCGGCUAACUCCAUGCCAGCAGCCGCGGUAAGACGGGGGGGCAAGUGUUCUUCGGAAUGACUAGGUGUAAAGGGCACGUAGGCGGUGAAUCGGGUUGAAAGUGAUAGUUGCCAAAAAGUGGUGGAAUGCUCUCGAAACCAAUUCACUUGAGUGAGACAGAGGAGAGUGGAAUUUCGUGUGUAGGGGUGAAAUCCAUAGAUCUACGAAGGAACGCCAAAAGGGAAAGCAGCUCUCUGGGUCCCUACCGAUGCUGGGGUGCGAAAUCAUGGGGAGCGAACAGGAUUAGAUACCCUACUAGUCCAUGCCGUAAAUGAUGUGUGUUCGCCCUUGGUCUAUUAGGAUCAGGGGCCCAGCUAACGCGUGAAACACUCUGCCUGGGGAGUAUGGUCGCAAGACCGAAACUCAAAGGAAUUGACGGGGGCCUGCACAAGCGGUGGAGCAUGUGGUUUAAUUUGAUACAACGCGCAAAACCUUACCAGCCCUUGACAUAUGAACAACAAAACCUGUCCUUAACAGGAUGGUACUGACUUUCAUACAGGUGCUGCAUGGCUGUCGUCAACGCGUGUCAUGAGAUGUUUGGUCAAGUCCUAUAACGAGCGAAACCCUCGUUUUGUGUUGCUGAGACAUGCGCUUAAGGAGAAUUGCCACCGAGUGACGUGUCAGCGCUACUACUUGAUUGAGUGCCAUCAUGUAGAUGCGCUUUCAGCAAGAAUUUCACCAUCGGGAGCCGGUGCCUUUCGAAGCACUUUCACGUGUGAACCAAAGUCAUCUUGCCCAAGACCCACGGAGACCUAGCUAUAGUGACAUCAAAGUACCAGUGAGCAUGGAGGUUUGGUUGAAAUUUGUUAUGACAACAUCGAGUUGGCGGCGGAGGAAGACUCGGCAUGAAGGCCAGAAAAUGGUGUGGAACGUAGUGGUAAUAGUACGCGCCCCACUCCGAAACACAGAAGAAGGUGCAUGCCGUACUCACGAGGGACUGCCAGUGAGAUACUGGAGGAAGGUGGGGAUGUCGUCAAGUCUGCAUGGCCCUUAUGGGCUGGGCCACACACGUGCUACAAUGGAAAUGACAAUGGGAAGCAAGGCUGUAAGGCGGAGCGAAUCCGGAAAGAUUGCCUCAGUUCGGAUUGUGCUCUGCAACUCGGGAACAUGAAGUUGAAAUCGCUAGUAAUCGCGGAUCAGCAUGCCGUGGUGAAUAUGUACUCGGGCCCUGUACACACCGCCCGUCACACCCUAGGAAUUGGUUUCGCCCAAAGCAUCAGACCAAUGAUCACCCAUGACUUUUGUGUACCACUAGUGCCACAAAGGCCUUUGGUGGUAUUAUUGGCGCAUACCACGGUGGGGUCUUCGACUGGGGUGAAGUCCUUACAAGGUAGCUGUAGGGGAACCUAUGGCUGGAUUGAAUCCUUC
rfam:Triticum urartu cultivar G1812 contig1155541, whole genome shotgun sequence.